UACGAAGGGGGCAAGCGUUGUUCGGAAUUACUGGGCGUAAAGGGCGCGUAGGCGGCUUGAUAAGCGUGCGGUGAAAGCCCCGGGCUCAACCUGGGAAUGGCAAUGGAUACUGGCGAGCUAGAGUGUGUCAGAGGAUGGUGGAAUUCCCGGUGUAGCGGUGAAAUGCGUAGAGAUCGGGAGGAACAUCAGUGGCGAAGGCGGCCAUCUGGGACAACACUGACGCUGAGGCACGAAAGCGUGGGGAGCAAACAGG
rnacentral:rRNA from 1 species